rnacentral:rRNA from 1 species
GUGAGUAACACGUGGGUGAUCUGCCUUGCACUUCGGGAUAAGCCUGGGAAACUGGGUCUAAUACCGGAUAGGACCAUGCUUUAGUGUGUGUGGUGGAAAGUUUUCGGUGCAAGAUGAGCCCGCGGCCUAUCAGCUUGUUGGUGGGGUAAUGGCCUACCAAGGCGACGACGGGUAGCCGGCCUGAGAGGGUGUACGGCCACAUUGGGACUGAGACACGGCCCAG